rnacentral:rRNA from 1 species
CAAUAGCGUAUAUUAAAGUUGUUGCAGUUAAAAAGCUCGUAGUUGGAUUUCUGGGAGGGUGCCGCCGUCCGGCGUGUCCGUGUGCAGUGGCGCCCUUCCAUCCUUCUGUUAGCGUCUCUUGGCAUUCAUUUGCUGGUGGCGGGCUCAGAUAUUUUACCUUGAGAAAAUUAGAGUGUUUCAGGCAGGCUAGGCCGGAAUACAUUAGCAUGGAAUAAUGGAAUGGGACUACGGUCUCUUUGUUGGUUUGAGGGACUGCAGUAAUGAUUAAUAGGGAUAGUUGGGGGCAUUAGUAUUUAAUUGUCAGAGGUGGAAUUCUCAGAUUUGUUAAAGACUAACUUAUGCGAAAGCAUUUGCCAAGGAUGUUUUCAUUAA